rnacentral:rRNA from 1 species
GACGAACGCUGGCGGCGUGCCUAAUACAUGCAAGUCGAGCGAAGUUUUUCUGGUGCUUGCACUAGAAAAACUUAGCGGCGAACGGGUGAGUAACACGUAAAGAACCUGCCUCAUAGACUGGGACAACUAUUGGAAACGAUAGCUAAUACCGGAUAACAGUAUUUCUCGCAUGAGAGAUAUUUAAAAGUUGGUUAUGCUAACACUAUGAGAUGGCUUUGCGGUGCAUUAGCUAGUUGGUGGGGUAAAGGCCCACCAAGGCGACGAUGCAUAGCCGACCUGAGAGCGAGAUCGGCCACACUGGGACUGAGACACGGCCCAGACUCCUACGGGAGGCAGCAGUAGGGAAUCUUCCGCAAUGGGCGAAAGCCUGACGGAGCAACGCCGCGGGAGUGAAGAAGGAGUUCGGUUCGUAAAGCUCUGUUGUUAGGGAAGAAUGGAUAUGUAGUAACUAUACAUGUAAGAGACGGUACCUAACCAAAAAGCCACGGCUAACUACGUG